rnacentral:rRNA from 1 species
GUAGGUGGCAAGCGUUGUCCGGAAUUAUUGGGCGUUAAAGCGCGCGCAGGCGGUUCUUUAAGUCUGAUGUGAAAGCCCACGGCCCAACCGUGGAGGGUCAUUGGAAACUGGAGAACUUGAGUACAGAAGAGGAAAGCGGAAUUCCACGUGUAGCGGUGAAAUGCGUAGAGAUGUGGAGGAACACCAGUGGCGAAGGCGGCUUUCUGGUCUGUAACUGACGCUGAGGCGCGAAAGCGUGGGGAGCAAACAGGAUUAGAUACCCUGGUAGUCCACGCCGUAAACGAUGGGUGCUAAGUGUUAGGGGGUUUCCGCCCCUUAGUGCUGCAGCUAACGCAUUAAGUACUCCGCCUGGGGAGUACGGCCGCAAAGGCUG